UCCCUUUCACCGUCAUCCAUGAGAAGACACAGUGUUCCAUCCAGAGGAUGUAGCAUCAAGGCGUCAUCUUAAAAGCAGAGAAAAGACUCUUACUUGACACCAGAUGCCAGUGCAUUGAUCUUGGACUUCCCAGCCUCUAGAACUGUAAACAGCCCUGGGACAAAGAACAGACUACGGGUAUUGCCUUCUUAAUCAACAAUAAAGUAUUAGUUGGCUUCCAGGCAGACACCACUGACUUUCAAGAGAAAGGCACGGGAGUAAGGAAGUAAAGAAUUCAGGUGCUGCUUGAAAAUACAACAAACUGUCUUCAGAAUACUUUUAUGUGUUGUUGAAAGAAAGCACUGCAGCUAAUAUAGCUACAAAGGAGAAACAGUUAUUCUUAAAUGUCAUCUAUUUGCUGGACCUGAACAGGAAUUCACUAUGGAGCUCAUACAACUACCACCUUCAGCUAUUAAUCAAGGAGUCAUUCAACUGAGAAAGGGGAGAUUGAGAUGUUGAAUCAUUUCUCAUUCUGUGAAGUCUACCAGAAUAACCCAUAAAGCAAAUAUCAACCUAUUUCAAGCCAAAAUAAAUGGAUGUGAAGCAGAUUGGACUCAAAGCAUUGAAAUCAAGACUUUGGCAUUAACUAACUCUGU
rnacentral:lncRNA from 1 species